rnacentral:rRNA from 1 species
GACGAACGCUGGCGGUGUGCCUAAUACAUGCAAGUCGAACGCAGUGGGGACGGGUGAGUAACACGUGGGUAACCUCCCAUCAGAGGGGAUAACACUUGGAAACAGGUGCUAAACCGAUACUGAUGGAUGGACCCGCGGUCCAUUAGCGAGUUGGUGAGGUAACGGCUCACCAAGGCCACGAUGCAUAGCCGACCUAAGAGGGGUAUCGACCACACUGAGGAUGAGACACGGCACAGACUCCUGCGGGAGACGGCAGUAGGGAGUCUUCGGCGAUGGACAAAAGUCUGACCGGGGAAAGCCGCAUGAGUGAAGAAAGUUUUCGGAUCAUAAAACUCUGUUGUUAGAGGAGCGGUAUCUAACCAGAAAGCAACGGCUAACUACGUGCCAGCAGCCGCGGUAGUAC